rnacentral:rRNA from 1 species
GGAAUUGACGGGGGCCCGCACAAGCGGAGGAGCAUGUGGUUUAAUUCGAUGAUACGCGAGGAACCUUACCUGGGCUCGAACGUAAGAUGACUGUAGGUGAAAGCUUACAUCUCUUCGGAGCAUUUUACGAGGUGCUGCAUGGUUGUCGUCAGCUCGUGCCGUGAGGUGUCGGGUUAAGUCCCAUAACGAGCGCAACCCCUACCUUUAGUUGCCAUCAGGUUAAGCUGGGGACUCUAAAGGAACUGCCUACGCAAGUAGUGAGGAAGCGGGGAUGACGUCAAAUCAGCACGGCCCUUACGUCCAGGGCUACACACGUGCUACAAUGGCCGAUACAGAGGGCAGCUACCUGGUGACAGGAUGCAAAUCUCCAAAGUCGGUCUCAGUUCGGAUUGCACUCUGCAACUCGAGUGCAUGAAGUUGGAAUCGCUAGUAAUCGCGGAUCAGCAUGCCGCGGUGAAUACGUUCCCGGGCCUU